AGGGGUAUAGCUCAGGGAUAGAGCUCUUGCCUUGCAUGUACAAAGCCCUGGGUUCGAUCCCCAGUACCACAU
rnacentral:tRNA from 1 species